ensembl:lncRNA
UUUCUGGCGGCGGUAUAAAAUUCUCGUUAAAAAGUAGUGCCGGUGUUCUGUCAUUUCGUCCUACCUAUCGAAACGUCCUACCAAAGGCAACUGCGCAUGCGCACGGCAAUAAACCACGCUGCCGUAAGUUUAGUUGGAGUAGGAGAAGAGAGCAAGAGCAGCAGCAAUUACUUGUGUUUCUGGGCUGUCAGAACAUACAGUACAGGCCGAAAGUUUGGACACACCUUCUCAUUCCACGUGUUUUCUUUAUUUUCAUGACCAUUUAAAUUGUUAGAUUCUCACUGAAGGCAUCAAAACUAUGAAUGAACACAUGUGGAGUUACGAACUUAACAAAAAGUGGAGAUCUGGCCUCCACAGUCACCGGACCUGAACCCAAUCCAGAUGGUUUGGACCGCAGAGUGAAGGCAAAGGGACCAACAAGUGCUAAACUCCUCUGGGAACUCCUUCAAGACUGUUGGAGAAGCAUUUCAGGUGACGACCUCUUGAAGCUCAUGGAGAGAAUGCCAAGAGUGUGCAAAGCAGUAAUCAGAGCAAAGAAACUAGAAUAUAAAACAAAAACUUAUUUCACCAUUUUUUGUUAAGUUCAUAACUCCACAUGUGUUCAUUCAUAGUUUUGAUGCCUUCAGUGAGAAUCUCCCAACGUAAAUGGUCAUGAAAAUAAAGAAAACACAUUGAAUGAGAAGGUGUCCAGACUUUUGGCCGGUACUGUACCAAACGUUACUGCGUUUUAUGUGUAAAGUGAUACGUAAUGAAAUAAUAAAGGGACCACAGGAUCUUGGUGCAGUCUGCUGGGGUUCUCUGCUUGGCGGAGAGUUGACCUGCAUCGGGACCGGGGCAGACCACUAACUCCGCUCACAGCAUUGUGCCGUGUGCAUUUCAAGGAGAACUACCAGUAUAUAUAUAUACGACUGUUGCAAGGUGAGUGUGGACCGAACGCAGAGUUUUUCUGCUCAUUGUAGCAUAUUAAAAUGGACCUCCCACUUCAGGACCUGAAGUGGGAGACCAACAUCUCCUCCAUCCUCAAAAAGACCCAGCAGAGGAUGUACUUCCUGAGGCAACAGGGGAAGUACAGUCUUCCACAGGAGCUGCUGAUCCAGUUCUACACUGCAGUCAUUGAGUCUGUCCUGUGCUCCUCCAUCACCACCUGGACCUGUACCUCUCCAGAUCCAGGACAAGGGCAGGGAAAAUCAUCUCAGACCCCUCACACCCUGGUCACAGGCUCUUUGACCUGCUGCCCUCUGGCAGACGUUAUAGAAGCCUGCAGACCAGGACCAGCCGACACAGGACCAGCUUCUUCCCCCUCGCCAUCUCCCUCCUAAACAGCUGAGACUGUAAAUCACCUCCAUCAUUGCACACUGCACUUUAUGUUCACUUGGAUAUAAGAUUUAGUUUGUUUUUUGCCUAUUUGUUCAUAAAAGUAGAUAUAGUUAUUUAUGAAUCACAAACAAUCCACAACUUGGACAAUAACACCACACCCUUGCACAUUGUUGUUGUUGGUUUUUUUUUUUCCAACAUUGUACUUGAGAGACACCAUCUACCGGAAUCAAAUUCCUUGUAUGUGCUUGCACUUACUUGGCCUAUAAAUACGAUUCUGAUUCUGAUUCUGAUAUUACAGCGUCCACACAGGAGUACGAGACCUUAACUCUUGUAUUUGAAAACAUCAUGUGACCGUGUAGAAAAUAGGCACUGAUAAUCAUAAUCGAAUUGACUCGUGAGACCAGUGAAGGGUCACACCUCUGUCUAAAAACACGUCUUCAUUAAUUUCCGGUGAAAUAUGAUGCAUGUGGUGAGUCCUGGACGAAGUGUAGAUGUGGUUCUCCAGCAGACCUCUCCCAUCCUCCUGCCCCAGGCACAGGUGUGUGGAGGAAGAAGGUAUGAAUGAAGAUCAAUAUCCAUCAAACAAAAAAAAACAAGCACGCACAUACAUACACAGAUGUAAUGUAUUGGGUUAUAAAACAACUUUAUUUAUUUCUUAUACAGUGCAUAAUCACAGUGCAUACAGUGCAUAACCCCCCCCCCCCCCCCCACUCGACCCUUCAGCCUUCCAUUUAAUUUGGAAGUGAGUGUACAUAUUCAAUGCAUUUUACAGCGUUAAAAUGCAGAAUAAAACCAGGGACACAAAAUGGUUGAAGAAAGAAGAAAUUUGAGUAAGUAUACAAACUUAAUAUUGAGUUAAAGCAGGUAAAAAGUACUGUGAGUUUUCACGGCCACGUCCUAUGUAACGUGGAAAAACAAAGUUUUAUCAGGAAGAACGACCAUUUUAGGUGAGACGUGACUAUGAAAUGAAUAAGAACAGUAUUUGUCGAGUUUAAUGAACCUGUGUGUCUUGGAAAGUCCGAUCGAAGUUGUGCGAUCGUGAAAUCUUUCUGUCGUAGAUAAUCAAUAAGAAACAAUAAUAAAUAAUAAAGAAAUAAUAAUAAUAAACAUAUAUGAUGUAGAUGGGGCGAGUAGAUCUGCGGCGGCCUGCAGGAGAGUCACCGCGACGCCUCCGGCCUCUGCGGCGGUGUAAUGCUCCACCAUCAUUUCGGCCGUGUCGCAGCGGUCCGCCGCCUCCAGCUUCCCCCACAUGAUGGCGUCGCGGUCACGCAGGUGCGUCUUGAACCUCCUGAAGUCCGCGGAGCCGAGGUCGUCGAAGGUCCUCAGCAGUUGGAUCGCAGAGGUCAUCGUGCGUCCGGGGACUUAAAAAACGCCAGAGUCCUGCUGACAGGUCAGUGCUCGUAUUACCGUCCAGUCAAAAAACCUCAAACUUUAUUUUUCACUUUGACCUUCAAUCAGCCGCGGCUGGAAAUGGAACGAAUUAAAAGCGUCUAACGUGAUUUUUGGAUUACUGUACGGAGCCGUAAUCGGAAGGUUGCCGAAUCCCCACUGAGGUGCCACUGAGCAAAGCACCGUCCCCACACACUGCUCCCCGGCUGAUUGUCAUGGUGCCCACUGCUCACCAAGGGUGAUGGUUAAAUGCAGAGGACACAUUGCACUGUGUGCACCAUGUGCUGCGCUGCUGUGUAUCACAAUCACUUCACUUUAAUAACAAUCUGAGUGGGUGCAUAAACCAUAAAUGAUAAACUCACACAGCGGUCUGUCCUCGUCUCUCAAGCUCUUUGGAGCUCUUUGAUCGGGUCCACAGUGAUCCUUCCAAGUCCACUGAUCUACAAGUUAAUUUCACCCAAGGCUGGUGAAUUUCCAUGACAGCAUUACUUCUCGAAAAGAGGUCUCACGUUCGAGUUACUUCCUCCUGUGCCUGUGUAGGUGUGAAUUUUCGCAUGAUUGUUAUCUUCAAGCACGACCUUCAGCAUCUCGUGGGUGAAUUCUCAAGCACCCUGUCCUCCUUCUCAAAAAAAAAAAAAGGUGCAUUUCUCCAAGUCUGAACCAAAUUAAGGAAACCCUCUCAUCCUCUGGUAAAAAAUCCAGCUGUUCUGCCUGCAGCUGGGGACACGCCCUGUCACGCCUACGGACUUACGGGGGAAGGAAGCGCAGAGGUUUGACAUGUUGGGAAGGCGUUUUAUUAAUAAACAAACAAUAAACACAAAUAAAGAACGGCGCGGUGGCCAAAACGGGAAAUAAAGGGGAAUAACCUUAAACAAACCCGUAGGCGUGUGGCGAUUGCCAGAACUCACAACAUAACACAUAAAGUCAAGUUUGUGUAGAGUCCACGAAAAUGCAGUCCCUUCCGAAGGGGCGGAAAACUAGGGUAUUUAUGCGACGUCAGGAUUGGCCACCAGUGAUGAGCACAGCCGCAGUCAAUCCUGACACCGCCUGGGGCCUCAGACCUGCAGGAAUGCCGGAACAGGAGAGAGAAGUAAUGGUAGUAGCCUAGUGGCCUCCGACCCAGAGGACAGCAAAUUUACAGGUUCAAGCCCCACUUAUUAUCAUUUUGUCCCUGAGCAAGACACUUCCGUGUCUCCAGGGAGACAGUCCCUGUAAAGAAUGAUUGUAAGUCAGUAUUUUGAUAAAGGCCAUAAAAUGUUCUGCUCUGUGUGGAGGUGAGAUUGACUCGAUCUAUCUGAUCCCCGUCAGCUUCUUGGACCAGCUGCAGCGCCUCCACGUGCAACACAGUGACAUUGAUCGGACCUAACGGCAGAUAUAUUGAUGAGGUUCAGCUUGAUAACUUAACUCUGAGGAUCAUCAAAGCCCACAAAGAUAAGGUGGUCGUACAUUGGGGAACAGUUCAUGUUUGCUUUUUUAUCUGAAUUAUAAAAAAGCAAAUGCAAACUGAGC